rnacentral:rRNA from 1 species
GAUGAACGCUGGCGGCGUGCUUAACACAUGCGAGUCGAACGGAAAGGCUCCUGCUUGCAGGGGUACUCGAGUGGCGAACGGGUGAGUAACACGUGGGUGAUCUGCCCUGCACUUCGGGAUAAGCCUGGGAAACUGGGUCUAAUACCGGAUAGGACGAUGGUUUGGAUGCCAUUGUGGAAAGUUUUUCGGUGUGGGAUGAGCUCGCGGCCUAUCAGCUUGUUGGUGGGGUAAUGGCCUACCAAGGCGUCGACGGGUAGCCGGCCUGAGAGGGUGUACGGCCACAUUGGGACUGAGAUACGGCCCAGACUCCUACGGGAGGCAGCAGUGGGGAAUAUUGCACAAGGGGCGCAAGCCUGAUGCAGCGACGCCGCGUGGGGGAUGACGGCCUUCGGGUUGUAAACUCCUUUCGCUAGGGACGAAGCGUUUUGUGACGGUACCUGGAGAAGAAGCACCGGCUAACUACGUG